CCUGGUGUAGCUCAGUCGGUGAGAGCGCCGCCCUGAUAAGGCGGAGGCCCGCGGUUCGAUUCCGCGCACCAGGAC
rnacentral:tRNA from 1 species